rnacentral:rRNA from 1 species
AAAGGGUGCGUAGGCGGCCUGUUAAGUCAGGGGUGAAAGACGGUAGCUCAACUAUCGCAGUGCCCUUGAUACUGACGGGCUUGAAUGGACUAGAGGUAGGCGGAAUGUGACAAGUAGCGGUGAAAUGCAUAGAUAUGUCACAGAACACCGAUUGCGAAGGCAGCUUACUAUGGUUUUAUUGACGCUGAGGCACGAAAGCGUGGGGAUCAAACAGGAUUAGAUACCCUGGU